rfam:Schistosoma mansoni, Puerto Rico, WGS project CABG01000000 data, contig: 0032
CUGUCACUGAGGAGUUCCAUAAUAGAACGAAAUGGCCGUCAAGCAG